UCUUGAAAUAGUCUGGCCAGGAGAAUAUUGGAAAUCCAUUUGUCUGCUGAAAUGGCAGUGAUGGCAAGAGAGUCCCAGGGUCUCAGGCCAUUGCCAUUCCCCUUGACAUAAGAUCACAUGCCAUCUUAAUGGCCCUAGGAGCUUUUGCAUCUUUUGAACACUAAAGCAAAUAGGAAAAUCAGCAUCAUUGCGUUAACGCACUAACCAAGCCCACCUUUGUACUGCUGGCAUGUGUGUGGGGGGGUCCUCACCAUAAAAAAGGUUCUUUUCUUCCGUCCUGCCCAUUUGGUGACAAGAGAACAUCAAAAAGCCUGAAGCAGCUGCACAGCAAAAGAUAAAUGCCAAUCAAGGCUGCCUGCCUUUGAUCAUCAAAUCCUUAACAGCAAAGCUCUAAUUCUCCUGAUACCAUUAAAAUGAGUUUAAAGGGCUUUCCAACUACAUUAAAAAAACACACACAUUUCUUUCAGCUGGGGAGUUUACAGGUAAAAGUUUUCAUGACUUUUUUUUUUUUUUUUUUUUGAGAUUGGGUCUGGCUCUGUCACUCAGGCGGGAGUGUGGAGUGCAGUGGCUUACUGCAACCUCUGCAUCCUGGGAUCAAGUGAUCCUCCCACUUCAGCCUCCCUCCAUGACUUUUAGAAAUAGCAAUUCUCUCUGAUUUAGGUCCUCAAUGCUAGCAAUAUAAUCCUGGGGUACUUCUAAGAAAACAUCCAAGCACAGAUAUUAAUUGUCAGAGACUGGGGAGGGUGCCACUUGUCACCCUGCAAAUGUGUCCCCUGGAAUAAGCAACUAUGGCAAACUCUUCGUGAGGCUACUAUGAACUAUUAUUCUACAAAGCGUGUAUUUCCUUGAUAUUUGAAGGAAUACGGUUGAUUUCCUUGGCCCCAAAGGCACACAGAGGAUCCUCAGUACCAAACGGCUUCUCUAAAAUGCAAUGAUGUCUGUAAGAGUUCGUGACCUAAAUAUUUUUAUUUUAUGCUUUUAUUCUUGCUACAUACUGAUAAUCAUGAUGAUAAUAGCAAUAUAGCAUCUAUUAUUUGGUGGGCAUUUACUUUGUUCUUUGCAGAAGUGACUUCAGCGUUCUCAAACUUGUGAAAUAGAUCAACAAGAGGUGAUACACGAGAUGGUUCCUUGGGCAAAAAUACUUUGAGAAAGUGCCUGUUUGGAGCCCUGACAAGUCCUGUGGCAUGAAUGUGAACUUUGACCGUUUGAUUUGACAAGGAUGAAUGCCUGCAAGAAAAGAACUCAGAGAGAUGGUGGAACCUUAAAAACAAACAAUAUUCAAGUUUGCACAAAUGAGCCAGCAGAGAACAGUCCGGAAGGAGGGGCUGCAGAAUGCUGUCUUUCCCUUGCGCUUGACUUCACAUUUAUUGACCACUGCACCAUGGAAGGAAGUCCCUAGAGCAGAAAGAAAGCCAAAGGCAAACAAUACCCUCCCCUCCUGACCAGAAGACCCCAACUAGAAAAUGUAUACACUUAUUCAGUGGAUUGGAGCAGUGAUGCCUGGUCUGGUCGCCAUUAGAAUCACCAUGAGAAUUACAAAAACAGGACUCUUGAUUCCACUGGGCUAAACUAGCAAUUCUUAACUAGUGCAGUUUUGUCCCCCCACCCCCACACCCGCCUCCGCCCAGGGGACAUUUGGCAAUGUUCGCAGACUUUUUCUCUAUUGUCAUGACCGAGGUGUGCUACUGGCAUCUAGUGGGUAAAGGUCAGGGAUGCUGUGAAACCUCCGACAAUGCACAGGACACUCCCACAACAAAGAAUGAUGUGGCCCCAAAUAAUGGAGCCAUGGCUCAGAAAUCAUGGCCAGAUGGAAGCUUGGGGAAGGGCAGAGACACCCUGCCAGGCUACUUGGAUGCUGUAUAUCCAGCACCCUCCACAGGGUCUGGUGUGCAAUCGUCCCGCCUUGAACAUCUGAAGACUGACCGGCCAACUAGGAACCGAAUCCAGCUACAGGAGAGAUGAUGGCACCACUUCUGACAAUCAAGGGAAGGCACCACUCAGUCGCUCCCUAUUACAGAGUCAUCGUGCAGGCUGGAGAAGGCUGAGUCAUUACUAGAUAUGCUGUAAUAUAUAUGUACAUGUCCACCCCAUAUACACUUACCUUUUCUUUCUAAAACUUUUGACAAAGACAUAAGGAUUUUCCUCUUAAUAAUUUUGUGGUCUUCUCUGGAAGCCUCUCUUUGAAGCCAUUGGCUCAGGGGAUAAAGAGGCUUAAACUGCGUUUAAAGGCUAUCACCUUUGGCUUUCACAUCUUGGCUACACUCUUCACACCUCCCUUAAAGUUAAAGGAAUCUGUUGUUCCUGCUGGAAUCAGUGGCAGCUCCCAAGGACUUGUCAUAUUCCUGGAUGCCAGAGUUCACAGCUAUCCAGUCAUGAUUUAGUUCAAGUGGGGAUUUGGAGAAGUGAGACAGAGAAUUAUGAGUGCAAGUACGGUCAUCCCAUAUCUACUAGUGUGUGUCCAGGGUUGACAUUGUGAGGAGUGAAAAAGGAAUAAAAACACUCAGGUUUUCACCUCUAGAAGCAAGAAAAUUUUUUUAAAAAGGGAAAAAAUAACUACUCAGGAAUGGAAUACCCUGCCCCCAGCACAAAGAGAAUAAACAAAAGCCUGAAUCUUACUGAGACGUCAAGGCCCCUGUAUGUGUCUCCUGAGCCCAUUUGUGUCAAUGAUUAUCUAUACAAACUUUAUUUAGGGGGAGUUGGUACCAGUGUUAACUGUGAACUAACAGGGAUGGGAUUUCUGGGAAUGUUUCCUUUCUAAUGGAUUUUCUGGUUGUAUUUUUAAGGUGGUGCCAAUAGGAUGUACUGACAGAUCAGAAGUGGUCGUGAGAGAAGGAGCAAGUAGCCAGAAGAGUGAAGUGUGCACUGGCUGAGAUGUGGGAGCAGGUGUUGUUGGUUUCCCCGGAGAUGCAGCAAGAAGGCCCUCGCCAGAUAUCAAGGCCUUAAGCUUGGACUUCCCAGCCUCCAGAACUGGGGGAAGAGCCAAGAUGUCUGAAUAGAAACAGCUCCGGUCUACAGCUCCCAGCGUGAGCAAUGCAGAAGACAGGUGAUUUCUGCAUUUCCAUCUGAGGUACCGGGUUCAUCUCACUAGGGAGUGCCAGACAGUGGGCGCAGGUCAGGGGGUGCUCGCACCGUGUGCCAGCCGAAGCAGGGCGAGGCAUUGCCUCACUCGGGAAGCGCAAGGGAUCAGGGAGUUCCCUUUCCUAG
rnacentral:lncRNA from 1 species